UUUUUUUUUUUAUUUAUGUUAAAAUCUUUAAGAUUUUAAUAAUUAUAUUUGUAUUUUAAAAAAAAUGUAAGCGUAGGAAUACGUGCCCUCCGCUUAAUUCAUAUGGUUUAAAGUAAUAAUAAAAAAAAAUCAAACGUAAAGUUGUCAAAUAAUGAUAAUAAUAAUAAAAAAAAAAAUUAAACUAGGGGGUGGGUUUAGUUUUCUAGGUAAAGCUUUAACUAAAAAAAAUGGCCCAAACAAUUUUAGUAAAUUAAUAACAAUUUAAGGAACAUUCUUAUUUAAGUAGCUUAAGGGGUGUCCUCUUUAACUACUAAAGAAAAUAUUUGAUUUAAAUAAAUUUUAAUCAUUAACAACAACUUAAGGUGUAUCCCCCAUUCAAGUAGUUUAUGGGUAUCCCUUUAACUACAAAAAAAUUUCUAUAUAAAAAUUAUUUGAUUUAAAUUUUAAUAAUUAACAACUAUUUAAGGGGCAUCCCCCACUCAAGUAGUUUAAGGAAAAAGAAAAGUUUAUUUGGCCCAAAUAAUAAAUUAGGGGUAUCCCCCAUUUAAGUAGCUUAAAAGAAAAUGAAAAAAUUUAUUUGGCCCUGAUAAAUUAAUAAUAAAUUAAGAGUAUCCCCUAUUUAAGUAGUUUAAGGGGUAGCCCCCUUUAACUACUAAAAAAACAUUUAAUUAAUUUUUAUCAAUCUAAAUAAUUAAGGACACUCAAAUACAUUAAACUGUACAAACAAAAGGAUAUAAUCAAAUAUAAGCAUAAAUGGGUGCAUUAAUAAUAGUAAGAGAAAGCAAGGCUAUAUUACCAUCUCACAUUCACCAAGACAUUUUUAGCAGCCAAUUGUCUCAUUUAAACAUAACAUUUAAGUCUAUGAAUAAGAAGGACUCCACUACAUAAAAGUUUACUAAUUACAUUUUUAACAUCGGUCAAGAGAUUACCAUUUUAUAAAAUGCAACUUUAAUUUGCAAUAACACAGAAGAUAGCUAAUAAAUUAAUCUUUCAAUAACAUGUAAGUCCCACAGUAACUACAGAUAACUUAAGAGAACUUAUCCUUACUUAUAGUCAUAUGUCAAGCAUGGAUCAUAACAUGGAUAUUUAAAUAAAAAUGGAUAAUCAACUAUAAAUUAAAUUUGUUUCAUAGAACGCAAGAUAAAGAUAAAUAAUAAUAAUAAUA
rnacentral:misc_RNA from 1 species